rnacentral:rRNA from 1 species
UAACGGCCGCGGUAUUUUGACCGUGCAAAGGUAGCGCAAUCACUUGUCUUUUAAAUAGAGACCUGUAUGAAUGGCCUAACGAGGGCUUAACUGUCUCCCCCUUCCAGUCAGUGAAAUUGAUCUAUCCGUGCAGAAGCGGGUAUAAAUAUACAAGACGAGAAGACCCUUUGGAGCUUAAGGUACAAAGUUUAACCAUGUUAAACAACUUAUUAAAGGGCAAAAACUUAAUGGAAAAUAAACAUUUACCUUCGGUUGGGGCGACCGCGGAGGAAAAAUCAGCCUCCGAGUGGAACGGGCUAAAUCCCUAAAACCAAGAGAGACAUCUCUAAGCCGCAGAAAAUCUGACCAAAAAUGAUCCGACACAUAGUCGAUCAACGAACCAAGUUACCCUAGGGAUAACAGCGCAAUCCUCUCCCAGAGUCCAUAUCGACGAGGGGGUUUACGACCUCGAUGUUGGAUCAGGACAUCCUAAUGGUGCAGCCGCUAUUAAGGGUUCGUUUGUUCAACGAUUAAAGUCCUACGUGAUCUGAGUUCAGACCGGAGUAAUCCAGGUCAGUUUCUAUCUGUAAUGCUACU